AGGAUAAUGGGACUCUUGUGAUGCAUGGGCAGGCGUAAGUGGCACAGGGUCAGCCACGGCUGGGGGCAGGAGCGCUCUGUAAUCACUGCUGGAGAUGUGAAGCCAGGACAGGCACCAAGGGGGAAUGCCGCGGGUCCUAGCGGGGAAAAUAGGCACUGAAAGCCAAAAAGGCACAAAGGGCUCGAGAUGGGUAUUUAGGGUCCAAAAGAGCAAAGAAAUACCAGGAAAUGAGGCAAGAAACAGCCGUGCAAAAUGAGCCACCAAACGGCUUCUCACCUUUGCCCUCAAACAACACCAAAAGCCAAAGGAGAGAAACUUCUGGAGUCUUGACACAGAAAUGCAAAUCAGCCAUCCUUCUGGGAUGUUAAUUUCCAUAUCUACCUCAUCGAUCCGGUCACAACCACUAGUGUGCAAAACACUGCCUUCAGUGUCCACAGCUUUAGGACACUGGCCCAGGCCGUCUUCACGCCCUCCAUGCUCUUCCCGGAUCCACCCAUCCUCUCUCCUGGCUCCACUGACCAUCUGCACAAGAGGACUCCAGCCCAGGUUCCACCUCAAGGGCAGUUGCUGAACCACACCGAGCCUUCGUGAGAAACAGAAAGAGGUGGCUUUUUCUCAGAACAGCUGCUGCCCCCACGUGGGCCGUGGCGAGCAGGCUGCAGGCUGGAUGCCAGCCCCACUGGCCCCUCACUGGGCCCCCUGGGCAGGUACAACUCUGGUGGCUGUGGGCCGGGGCCCAACUCCCUCAGAAACCCGACAGGCACGAAGGUUUGCGGGUGUGAUCUUUAAAGCAUGGCUGCGUGUCCUUAAAUUAAGGUAGAAAAGCUGGCUUCACGUGGAACCUGAGAAGUCUGCAACGUCAACAUCAGUUUACAGACGGGCCGGCGCUAUCUUAAGCACCUUUCUAAAGCUGAACCUGUGUUAGAGCAGAAUAAGGAACAAGCAGAACAAAUGUGAUUUUCCAGUUUGGGGUUUCAACAUGUCACUGGCUUUCAUAUGCGAGUUCUCCUUUUUGGUCUCCUCUAGAUUUGAAAAAAGAAGUUGUAUCUCACAAAUCAACAUCAGAAAUCCCACAUUUCUACUCCAGCAUAACACAGAAGUUUCUUCAAGUUAAAUGAAGCAUCUUUUAGUUUGGCUCCCUAAAUGUCUCUCAAAUCUCAAUACCGCAGUAUACUUCACAGUAAAUCUUCAGAGUCCUAAAUACAGCGGCCAAUAUAUUUGUGCAUUUAAAUCACAUAUCUGAGGACCUAUCAGCAGUGCACCUAUUACGGAUACAGCAUUGUGCUAGGUUCUCAAAGGAUCCAAAAUGAAUUCAGGUCACACUUGCCCUCUAGGAUCGACAAUUUACAUUAGGAGAGAUUACCAGAGUCCUGCAAAUAAACACCUCCAUUUCCAUGUGGCAGCUGUGAAGGUUCGGGGGAGGACGUGCAGGGUGACUUGGAGCACAACAAAGCCACACACGAAAAUAAGGAAAUACUAGGGAUCACAUGGUAAGUGCCAGAAAAGAGUCAUGUUAUUACCUAGUGCCCAAGUGAUCGGAAGAAAAGAUAACUCCUAAAUUUGGGAGGAGGAGGGAGCAGGGGAUAAUAAAAACACAAAUACAGCGUUUUCGAGUUUGAUAAAGGGUUUUACCUCAUAGGAUUUCCCACGUGCAUCAGGAAAACGUGGCGAUGGUGGUGAGGGCCAACAUUAUUAUUCUAUUACAGAUGAUGAGGAAAACCCCUCGAGAGUGUUAUCCAACGUGUUACAACUGGAGCCUGAGAUUCGAGGCAAGGUUUUCUGGCUGUAAAUCUGCCUUCUCUCUACUACGCUAUGUAAACUGAGAAGGCUUACAAGCCAAGGCAAUAUUUGAAUUGGGCUUUAAAAACCGAUAAGGGAGACAGAAUUUGACUAGAAGGAGUUUGGAGAUAGGGUCAGGUCUGGCAGGAGGCU